CCAGCCUGGCAGAUCUGGCCACAGGCGUCCACAUGGGUGAGGGGGACUAGCCUGGAGGGACUUCGAGUCACAGGACCCUCUGGGCUUCCUGGCUCGCGCCGCUGCCUCGCCCGAGUCCGCCAGGGUCCCGCGGGCAGAGGAGCCUUUGGAGGCCGAGGCGUGCUGGUGUGGAUGCCGCCCCGCUGCCAGACCAAGUGCAUCAGCCUGGAAUCCAGGCCACCAUCCUGCAGGCGCUCCUCUCCCGCGUGUGGCCUGGAUCCUCUUGCUAAUCUGAGGGAGGAACUGGAGCUGAAGCUGGUGAGGGGCAGUGCUGGGCCAGACCACCUUCCUCAAUGUCACCAAGACUUCACAUGAGGCUGGGGAUGGAUGUGCUGCCCCUACUGGACAAGCUCCACAGUCUGUCUUCCCACCACUGAGUGGCAGAGGGCACAGUCCAGUAGUGUUAAGUACAUUCAUAUUGUUGUGCUGCCGUCACCACCAUCAUCUCCAUCACUGUUCUCAUCUUCUCCAACUGAAGCUUUGUCCCCACUAAACAACAACUCUGCAUCCACUCCCCCAUCCCUGGUCCCCUCCCUCUUACCUCUGUCUCUAUGACUCUGACAGCUCUUGGGACCUCAGGUGAGUGGAAUCACACAAUAUUUGUCCUUUUGUGAC